UACAGAGGUCUCAAGCGUUGUUCGGAUUUAUUGGGCGUAAAGGGUGCGUAGGCGGCGCCGUAAGUCGGGUGUGAAAUUUCGGAGCUCAACUCCGAAACUGCAUUCGAUACUGCGGUGCUUGAGGACUGGAGAGGAGACUGGAAUUCAUGGUGUAGCAGUGAAAUGCGUAGAGAUCAUGAGGAAGACCAGUGGCGAAGGCGGGUCUCUGGACAGUUCCUGACACUGAGGCACGAAGGCCAGGGGAGCAAACGGG
rnacentral:rRNA from 1 species